rnacentral:rRNA from 1 species
AUGAAGCUGGAUUCGCUAGUAAUCGCGCAUCAGCCACGGCGCGGUGAAUACGUUCCCGGGCCUUGUACACACCGCCCGUCAAGCCAUGGAANCCGGGAGUGCCUGAAGUGCGUGAGCGCAAGCAGCGCCCUAAGGUAAACCGGUGGCUGGGGCUAAGUCGUAACAAGGUAAC